GCAUGCCUACAACAUAACAUUAAUGCACCGGAUUCCAUUAGAACUCUGAACUUAAGCGCGCUUAGGCUAGAGUAGUACUUGGAUGGGCGACCACCCAGGAAGUCCUACUAUAUUACAUGCC
rfam:Picea glauca, whole genome shotgun sequence.